rnacentral:rRNA from 1 species
GACGAACGCUGGCGGUAUGCUUAACACAUGCAAGUCGAACGAACAAAAUUGGGGCUUGCUCCAAUUUUAGUGAGUGGCAAACGGGUGAGUAACACGUGGGAAUCUACCUAUCAGUACGGAAUAACAUUUGGAAACAGAUGCUAAUACCGUAUAUUCUCCAAGGAGGAAAGAUUUAUCGCUGAUAGAUGAGCCCGCGCAAGAUUAGGUAGUUGGUAGGGUAAUGGCCUACCAAGCCGACGAUCUUUAGCUGGUCUGAGAGGAUGAUCAGCCACACUGGGACUGAGACACGGCCCAGACUCCUACGGGAGGCAGCAGUGGGGAAUAUUGGACAAUGGGCGAAAGCCUGAUCCAGCAAUACCGCGUGAAUGAUGAAGGCCUUAGGGUUGUAAAGUUCUUUUAGUUGGAAAGAUAAUGACGGUACCAACAGAAAAAGCCCCGGCUAACUCCGUGCCAGCAGCCGCGGUAA